GGGGAAUAUUGCGCAAUGGGGGAAACCCUGACGCAGCAAUACCGCGUGAGCGAAGAAGGUUUUCGGAUCGUAAAGCUCUGUUAUCGGGGAAGAAGAAGUGACGGUACCCGAUGAGGAAGUCCCGGCUAACUACGUGCCAGCAGCCGCGGUAAUACGUAGGGGACAAGCGUUGUCCGGAAUGACUGGGCGUAAAGGGCGCGUAGGCGGUUUUGUAAGUCAGAUGUGAAAGGUACCGGCUCAACCGGUGACGUGCAUUUGAAACUGCAAGACUUGAGUACUGGAGAGGCAAGUGGAAUUCCUAGUGUAGCGGUGAAAUGCGUAGAUAUUAGGAGGAACACCGGUGGCGAAGGCGGCUUGCUGGACAGAUACUGACGCUGAGGCGCGAAAGCGUGGGGAGCAAAC
rnacentral:rRNA from 1 species